AUUGAACGCUGGCGGCAGGCUUAACACAUGCAAGUCGAGCGGGGUGAUGGUGCUUGCACUAUCACUUAGCGGCGGACGGGUGAGUAAUGCUUAGGAAUCUGCCUAUUAGUGGGGGACAACAUCUCGAAAGGGAUGCUAAUACCGCAUACGUCCUACGGGAGAAAGCAGGGGAUCACUUGUGACCUUGCGCUAAUAGAUGAGCCUAAGUCGGAUUAGCUAGUUGGUGGGGUAAAGGCCUACCAAGGCGACGAUCUGUAGCGGGUCUGAGAGGAUGAUCCGCCACACUGGGACUGAGACACGGCCCAGACUCCUACGGGAGGCAGCAGUGGGGAAUAUUGGACAAUGGGGGGAACCCUGAUCCAGCCAUGCCGCGUGUGUGAAGAAGGCCUUAUGGUUGUAAAGCACUUUAAGCGAGGAGGAGGCUCUUUUGGUUAAUACCCAAGAUGAGUGGACGUUACUCGCAGAAUGAGCACCGGCUAACUUUGUGCCAGCAGCCGCAGUAA
rnacentral:rRNA from 1 species